CCUUCCCCUCCCUCCCCCUUCCACCUCCCUCCCCCUUCCACCUCCCUCCCCCUUCCCUUCCGCUUCCCUUCUUCCCUUCCCCUUCCUUCUUCCCUUCCCCUUCUCCUUCCCCUUCCCUUCUCCUUCCAUUCCCCUUCUCCUUCCCCUUCACCUCCCUUUCCCUUCCCCUUCCCCUUCUGCUUUCUUCCUUCCUUCCUUUUUUCCUUCCUUCCCUCCCUCCUUCCUCUUUCUUUCUUUGGACAGGUUUUGCUCUAUUGCCCAGGCUGGAGUAGAGUAGUGUUAACAAGACUCACUUAAAAUUAUUUUUAACAGAAAUUUAUUUAUGCAAAUGUCUUUUCAAUGUAACCAAUAUAUCUCUUUUAAGUGAAAAAUAUUUACCAUCUGUUAGCCUCAACACUUUACCUUCUGCAGCCUCAAUUUUUCCAGCUCUAGCAAUCCUCCCAUCUCAGCCUCUCAAGUAGCUGGGACUACAGGUGGUGCCACCAUGCCUGGCCAAUUUUUGUAAUUUUUUGUAGAGAUGGGGUUCACCAUGUUGCCCAGGCUGGACUCGAAUGCCUAGACUUAGGUGAUCCUCCCACUUCAGCCUCCCAAAGUGCUGAGAUUAUAGGCAUGAGCCACCACGCCCAGCCAAAAGGUUGAAACAUCUUCUAAACUUGAAAACAAAGUACAUGGCAUUUAAAUACAUAUUCCUUAACAUUUGGAAGACAUGUUAACACCAUAUAAACCCAGAGCCUGUAAUUUAGAUUAGUAACAUGUAGAUAUUUUCAAUUUCUUCUAAAGUUUUAAAAAAAAUAAAUUUUAUAUUCAGAGAAUUCUUAACGACAGAAGGUAAAUAUUUUUUAACUUAAAUGUGGUGACUUUGAAAAGAAAUUUGGUUAAUGUAAGUUAGAUAAAUUUCUGUUUAAAAAUAAUUUAAGAAAAAUAAUGCUGAAGGAGGAGUGGUCAUAGCAUUUAUUCCAGAGAGAGGAAUUUUGUCCUGAUCUGUCUGUAAUAACAAAAGUAUAUGGACCAAGAUUAUUUUAUAGGGACAUAGAUUAAAAGAUAGUUUACAAUUUUAUUUUUAAAAAUGAAGAUAACCUUUUGAUACAUGUAUUAAAUGUAAGAGAACAAACAGCAUAAAAAUGAACUUUUGGGGGGAUAUUGUGGAAUACAAACAAGUACCGAGAACAGUGUGAGGAAUGAAAUUCUCAUCCUGGCUUGAUGUGGGCAGAACCUCACAGUCUGAGGACAACCCCAGUAUGUGGUGGUGUUAGGGCACGGCCCCUCUGUGUAGAAACUGUUCUCAUUUACUGAGACUUGAAGUCUCAGUAAAAAAUAAUACCAACCUCAACACAAAAUGAUUGGUUCAUCAUUUGAUACACCCUGUGCCUUUAUAACAUGUACAGUUGUGUUGCCAUUCUAUAAGGCUUAUCAUUUGUUACAUUUAAAACCAGAAUAAUUUCAAAUUUGAAGUGAAAUAAGUCCCUUAGAGAGAGAAAUUUCACAAUAUGACCCCUAUCUAUCUAUAAUCAUCUGUAUCUGUGUUGAGCCAUUUUUUAUAUGGAAAAAAGAAAAACAUCCUUCUAGACCUUCUAAGUUUUAUAGCGUCACACGAACAUUGAGGCAAUGUGAUAGACAAACGUAGACGUUAAUAUUAUUUGGAGAACAGUUUCAUUUUCAGUAUCAGCAAACCGUCAGGUGUUGGUGGUCUUAGGCAUUAUUAACCUCUAGGGUCCACAUCUUUGCAUGUGAAAAGUAGGUACUAGAGAAGAGCGAAGAGAGAGCACUCUCAUUGUUCCCGGAGAAAUGGACUAGAGAAAUAUAAAGUCACCUAGAGAAUGAUUGUGCACACAGCACUUUUCACUAGGGAAGCCAUCUCAUAAUUCCUGUUGUAUAUUUUUACUACAAUGUUAAGUUAUUGGUUUGGGUUUAGAUGUGUUCAUUAAAUACAGGUUAAUGUUACUGCCCUAUAAUUUAGGAUGGUACACAGAACCUGUGGGAAAUUAUCUAUCACUCACAUAACCAAGGAGUAACAGAAUGGUGAGUAUCUUGUACUGUGAUGUGACAUUGAAUUGACCCAUUAAGAUAGCCAAUGUGAGCUACCCACAUGCAGCAAUUGAAAUUUCCAAAAUAGAUCAUUACAAUGUGCUAAGAUCAGUUCAUAUGAAACAUUCACAUAUAUUUGACAUGAACAUUUUAAUUUUGCAUAUCAGGUGCGUUUUUAUUUUUAGUUUUAUUUUUUGAGACAGAGUGAGACAGAGUCUCACUCUGUCACCCAGGCUAGAGUGCAGUGGCACAAUCUCAGCUCAACUGCAACAUUCACCUCCCAGGGUAAAGCAAUUCUCUGGCCUCAGUCUCCCAGGUAGCUGGGAUUACAGGCACCUGCCACCACACCCGGCUAAUUUUUGUAUUUUUAGUGGAGACCAGGUUUCACCAUGUUGGCCAGGCUGGUCUUGAACUCCUGACUUCAGGUGGUCCUCCCGCCUUGGCUUCCCAAAGUGCUGAGAACUUAUCUGUUUAAGCCCGCUGUUUGCCUUGGUGCACAGAGCGCUGCCUCUGAACUGGGGUAGCCCAUUCCUAGGGAACACGGCAAGUAGCUCUUUGCACAGGAGCCGCCAGCCCUCACGGCGCAGGGAAAGAAGGCUGCUUAUCUUCAGUGUGAUCUGAAAAAUUACAGGCCUGCGCGGUGGCUCACACCCGUAAUUCCAGCACUUUGGGAGGCCAAGGCGGGUGGAUCACUUGAGGUCGGGAGUUCGUGACAGGUCUGGCCAACAUGGGCCUGUGUCAACUGAAAAUACAAAAAUUAGCUGGGCAUGGUGGCGCUUGCCUACAUGUAAUCCCAGCUACUCAGGAGGCUGAGGUAGGAGACUCGCUUGAACCCGGGAGGCGGAGGUUGCAGCUGAACCGAGAUUGCGCCACUGCACUCCAGCCUGGGCAACAAAGCGAGACCUUAUUUCAGAAAAAAAAAAUUACCGCUGCGUGUUUUACUUGUUUUCCACACUUGUCUCUGGCUUGAUCAGGGCACAUAACUACAUAUUUUUCUAUCUGUGUAUCAAAAAUAUGUUGGUUUUUAAAAAUAAAAUCAUGAAGGGAGGCCCCGGCCCUAGCCAGAGGCUGCACUUGGACAGCCGAGGGACCACCGAGGCGGUGCAGGACCUGAGCCCAGAGAAAAGACCUGGAAAGGAAGCUUCUCGCAGAAUGCGGCGGGAACAGCUGCAGCGAGCAGGGGUUCCAGAAAGCACUGGCCCCUGAGCCCCAGUGCAGUGGACCUGACACAGGGGUUAGCCCGGGCGGUGGGAAGAGCCUAGGAAGCACGGCCCUCCGCGCUGCCCCCCACCCCCGUCCCCUCCCCCCGCUGGGACACCUUUUCACUUCAGGAGCCUCUGGAAUAGCCGGGGUGUUUGGGGUGCUGAAAACACAGGGUGCCCAGGCUCAGCCCCAGCCUUAAUCGGACACAGACAAUUUUGUGGUGUUUCUUUGGUCAGUUUUUUAAAUUGGUCUUUUUCAUAUAUUUUUUUUUUUAAUGAAAGGGUUCCUGAGGCCGGGUGCGGUGGCUCAAGCCUGUAAUCCCAGCACUUUGGGAGGCCGAGGCGGGUGGCUAACGAGGUCAAGAAAUCCAGACCAUCCUGGUCAACAUGGUGAAACUCUACUAAAAAUACAAAACAUUAGCUGGGCAUGGUGGCGUGUGCCUGUAAUCCCAGCUACUCAGGAGGCUGAGGCGGGAGAAUUGCUUGAACCCAGGAGGUGGAGGUUGCGGUGAGCCGAGAUUGCGCCAUCGCACUCCAGCCUGGGUAACAAGAGAGAAACUCCAUCUCAAAAAAGAAAAAAAAAAAGGGGGAUCCUUUGGUAGAAAGAAAAUCUGAAAUUCUAAAUACUGUCUAUUUUAUCCAUAUACUGUUGACCCUCCCCCGAAAAUAUGUCCUGAUUCCGGCCACUCGCCAUGACCUUUUUCAUCACUUCCCAUCAUUUCUCAUCUGGAUUACUGUACCAGCCUCCUCACUGACCUCCCCGCUGCCACCCUGUGGAAGCGCUGGCCCCCAGGGUCGGGGGUGACAAUGACGAGGACUGGGGUGCACACGUGAGUGGGGCCGCCUGGCCAGGGAAGCCACCCACAUGCACACAUGUUCACCCACAUGUGUGCACACACGUGCACACUGCACACACACAUGUUGACACUUCAGAGUGUGGAGUACGCUGACUCUGGGCCCUGCUGGCCCAGGCAGGGGCCCAUUGUGAUGGGUGCCAUAACCCUACAAUGUCCCUGGUGCUGGGUACCCACCCGCCUACCGCCUGCCCUACUCUGUCUGGAGCUCUUUGAGACAAGACACAUAGCAGUGUGUAGUUCUGCCCAGAAGAGGCUUUCCUAAGUGAGAGGUACAGCUGGAUCAGCAGACUCAGGUGAGUACGACCUGCUCUGUUCCCUCCCUGCUGACUGGGUGGGUGGUGCUGGCCCCUGGGCAGGUGCUGAGGAGGGCCAUCCCUGAGCACUCACCAGGUGCCCGUUCUCCACUGACAAUAUAGAUGUUCAUCUCGUUUGUCAUCACAGUGACGGUGGGGGCGGGGUGGGCUUUGGGUGCUGUCCCCUAAUGUGCCUAUUUUACAGGUGAGAUGUCUAGGGUCAGAGAAGUGGUUACUGGCCCAGGACCCGUUGGGGUGUUCUCUGGAGUGCUGGGGUGCAGUGGGACCCUCAGAUGACUUUGUUUUGCAUGACUCUGGGCUGUGCUCUCAGCCCUCCCCUGUGCCAUGCUGGACUCAAGCCCUGACCUCUGCAGCCUCCCUGUCUUGGAUCCAAAAUUUCCCUGGGGUUCCAGACCCUGAUGGGGCAGAUUCUGGCCCUGCGGCUGGGGUGCUGGGGGUGAUUCUCAGUCUAAGUCUGUGCCCUAAGCUGGAUCCCCACAGGAGGUGUUCUCACCAACUCAGACUCAGAUGUGGUCACUGAUGGUCCCUGUAGGACCCACUGGACACAUGGGGUCCUUCGUCUAGGAGUGGGGUGGGGAGCGCUCUGUCCUCAGGCAGUUGUGGAAAAUGGAGCUCUGGAGAGCUGCCUGGAGGGUGACAAUCGUUCCUCCUUGUCAAAGGGCUUGGGGAAGGAAUGGGACCUUCCUCCAGUGACCCUUUCUCUUUCCGAACCUCCAGAGGACUUGCCCUCCCUUUGCCUCAAGUGUUUCCAGGAGGGAUGGCCCCCUGGGUGUUCUCCAGGACCAAGGCCCAGAAUUCUCUUGUUCUUCCUCAGUGACCCAAGAAAACGAAGCCCCCUCCUGUACUGACAGCUGGGAAUUGCGGAGUCCGCCAUCCCUCCACCUGAGACGGGGUCUCCACAAGCACAGAAGCUGCUUUUGACUCAAUAGAUCUUUUUUUCCCCAAACCAAACACCCUCCUGUUUAGCUGGCAUUGUUCCUGAAGCGGUGUCACUGGCCAGAGUGAGAAUUGGAGUAGAAUGGAGCAGUCCCCAGAUGUCUUGCUUCCUACAGAAAACUGGGCAUCUUCAUUAUUCCCAAAUGAUCCCAGAGGCUGAUCCUCUAGAGACAUCUGGUCCCUGACCCCAUCUGCCUCCAGCUGCCUGGAACAGCCAUUGUAGGCCCUUCACCCUCAACAGGAUGGAGAUGGAUGAGGACCCAGGUAUCCUGCCCACCUAGGGGCAAGGCAACAUCAUUGUUACUAAGUAUGAGCAGGUGCAGGUCAGGCCAGUCCCUCAGGGGAGGUGGGGCCUCACCUUCCCCACUGUCCCUGGUCAGAGGGUCCUGGGCUCCCUAGGAUCACAGGGUGGAGACAGGCUGUCCAUGCACUCAGGACCCCAAGCCCCUCACCUUCCCCCCAGUCCCCACCCUGGCCCUUGCUGGGUCACAGGGAUGCAGAGCUGGGGCAACAGUGAAUGAGACAUGAGCAUGGUGACCUGAAAAUUCACUGAUCACCUCCGGAUUGUGCAGAGUUCUCUGUCCCCCACACAUCAGUCUCACAUCAGGGAGGGUUUUGUUCUUAGAAAGGCCUCUCCGAGGUAGGGCAAGUCUCUCCAGGGUGGAAAUUCCUCCCUGCCUCUCCUGCAGGUACAGCAUGGGGUCAGGGUUAGGGCAGAGCUUCGAGGCCCAUCUAGGGAGCUCAGGAGAGCAGGUGGGACAGAGAGGGGGCUGGGUCAGACCCCUGGGCUCUCAGCACUGAGGUCUCCACAUGAGCAGGAGAGGAGGGGGCAGCCUGAGGGUCUGGCCCUGUCCCUUUGGGGUGUGCCCUUGUGAGAUCUGAGGGUGGUGGCCACAGGGCUAGGGGACACCUGGCCAGGCCUGUGGACAGUUGUGUAGCAGGUCUCUGAAGGCUCAGGAAGCCCAGCUGUCAUCCUGUAGGGAGGAGCAAGGGGACAUCAAGGGCUGUGACCCUGGGAGGCUAGGGGAAUAGAAGGGCAGGGCCCAGCUUGGGCAUCUCUGGUGAGGCCAGAGGGGCAACAGAGCGUGCAGCUGAAGGCCCCAGGAGUGGUGCUGGGAAGGGCUCUGGGCCUGGGAAAGGGAGCCCAGCCUGGAGCCAACCUCUCAGGACUCAUAGGAUGGAGAGAGGAGGAGCCUGGGGGAGAGGGUUGGGGUGAGCCUAUGAGACCUGCCACUUCUGGGACACACCUGAACCAAGCCAGCCCAGGGUGGAGCUGACAGUCUGGGGAGGACAACAGAUGAGGUGAGCAGGGAACAGUGGCUCACUUGGGACCCUUCAGUCGGGGGACUCUGUCAGUCCCCAAGGCUCUGCGUGGCCCUCCAGAGACUCUGCUUCCCCAGGCUCAGUCAGCACUGCAGACGGUAGAUGGAGGGGCAGAGUCAGGGGCAGGCAGGACAGUGGGGGAGGACAGCCAGGCACCCCAUGUCCCGGUUUUUGCAGUGGCUGGAAGGAGGCUGAGGGCUGAAGACUGACUACCCUGAGAGCCAGCUGAGGCUGGAGACGGGGUGGUGGGGCAUCCCCACUACCUGCAGGGCCCUUGGUCACCUUUGUCACCCCAGGAUUUUCCACAGCAGCACUGGGCAGCCCAGUGAGAGUGGCCAAGGCAGGGGUGUGGGCAGAUACUGGGGGUCUCAUUCUUAGGCUGUGACAGGAAGAGGAUCACAGAAGGGCCAGGGUGGCCAGAGAGGGUCACAAUCUCUGGGCCAGGCACAAUGGGGGAAGGCGGGAAACAGGCAGGGUCAGCAGCCAGGGUGCAGGCAGAGGCAGGUGCAUGCUGGGAGGUCAGACCCUGCAAGGCCCGUCUGGGGCGCCGGGUGGGAUGGGCUGCAGAUGCGUCCUCAGGGCCCUGGGCAGCUCUCAGGCCAGGCUCCCUGGACUCUGGUGGGUGAUGUGGUCACUCCCGAGGCACUGCUGUCAGUCAGGGUUCAGCCACCACCCUGGGCAGCACUCAUCCCGUCUCAGGACUGUACUUGCUCAGCUCCCACAGAGGGUGUUGCCCAAGACAGGCAGCCCCAUUGUGCAGCCCAAGGCACCCCACAGGCCCCAAAUGGCCCCCACCAGGCCAGCCUCGAGCUCCCUCUCCUCCAGGCUCCCAGUGCCUUGUGGGCAGUCGGCUCCAUAGGGAGGCUCUUGCCUUCCUUCCCUGUGCCUUCUUCCUGGCUGAGACUUUUGGUGGAUAGGGAUAGGGCUAGUCCUUCCCUGGGGUCCUCUCUGGGAGGGGAUGGAUCCUGGCCUGGGCAGGCUCUCAGCUCUGCCUGGGUUGCCUUACAGUGAGAUGGAGCUGCCCCCCCAUCAGCGUCCUGGAGGUAAAGCUAAGAGCCUGGGCCUGCUGUGUGGGAGGCUGGUCCAGGGACAGGGAAUCGGGUGGUCACUGAGGCAGUGGGAGUGGCCCAACGGCCAGGGUGGUGGUGAGUGGGCCACGGCUGUCACUGGGAAGGGCAGCCAUUCCUGCUGGACCCUGUCCCCUGAGGGUUUCACCAAAACCCAAGAACUGCUGGCCCAGAGGUCACUGCCUGUUUGCACCAAGUCCCAAGCUAGAGCCUGGGACUGACCUAAACUCAGGGCUUCUGUGGUCUGAAGAUGGUGUGUCCUGGCAUCACCAGUCCAGACUGCCAGCUCCAGUUAGUUCAGAGGGUCUCAGCCCCUGGGGUCUGCCCUUUCCUGGCUCCUUCCGGUUGGGUCCCUUCAGGGCCCUGAAGCCCAGGACCCAGCAUCCACGGGGCCACUACCAGAAGCCUGACAGCUCCGCUAACUCCAUCAUGGCCCAUUUCACAGCAAAGACAUCAGGAAAUAACAACACAAAUUAAUAAGUGGCUGAAGAUACUGAGACUGACCAAAAUACAGGAACAGCGAGAAGGUACCAUGGGGAGGGAGUGGCCCCCGUGACUGCUCUCUGCAGAGCCAGGAGACAGGCACCCAUGGCUGUGACCUGGCUGACCUGGCACCACCUGCCUCUCAGUGGGUGGGUGGCACCCAUCCUCACCAUAAACAGCAGCCCUGUUCGCCAGCUUUCCUCACUGGCCACCUGUGUCCUGUCUCACUGGAGCGUUCUUUCGUCUGUAACUCUCCCAAACAGUAUACAAAGGCAUUCCCCUGGCCGCUCAGGACUGGGCGUGGUCACUCCUGCUAGACAUUGAGGAAGUCAAGGCUGAGAAACCAGGGAAAUACAAGGUACAGCCCUCCCCUCCCAUAUUCAGCCAAGGCAGGACAAACAGGCCAGGCUGGAUCAGGAGCCCAGGACUCCAGCUGGAGGGAACCUGGAGUCUGGGUUGGGGGUGAGGGUUGUGGUCAGAUGCACAUCCGGACACACAGAUGCACAUCCGGGUGACACAGGCACCACAGGUACGCUGGGAUCUGCUGACACUCCCUGGCUUCAGAAAUGAGGCAAAAAGCAGCUUUCUGCAGGAGGAAACCUUCCUCUCUUCCUUCCAGAAGGUACAGUUCUGUCAAGGUGUGAAAGCGGAGUGUUCAGUAUUGCACCUCAUCUCUGUCACAAAAUGUUCCUAUUCCUGUCCUGGAAAGAUGGAGCUUUGCUGUUUAAGUUCUUAGGACCCAGGCAGAUGAAACUUUUCCAAAGGGCACACAACAGUGGUUCUCUUUAACGUGGAGACAGCACUCAGCCUGAAACCCUGGGCAUUCUCUGGUGUUCUUGGUGUUUCCAAGUGAAGUCAAAUAACUUCCCACAAAGGUUUGCCACAGAGGCCUCCAAAACUGGAGGGGAAGAACUAUUUAGAACCCAGAGGCUUCAGAAUCAAAGAUGAGGCCAAGCAGCAGAGUCCUGACCAGCUGAGGGCAGAGGAAGCAUGUGGGGACAGCUGGGAGAGGACGUCAUAGAGGCCCACCAUGGCCUUGGGAUCUGUCACAGAACCAUGCACUUGGAUGGCUGUGCACAUCUCCUCUCCACUGAUUGAUUAUAGUAUAUCUUUUCAUCUGCUACUCUCCAAUCAUGCAGGGAGUUUGCUACAAAACACACGUAACCACAGGCCAGGUCGUCCAAGCCAACCUGGCAGAUUCAGCAUGUCAAGGGCUUCAGGUGACUUUCAUGCAUACCCAAGUCUGAAGGUCCAUGGCUGUCCUGAAUCCUGGUGUCACCUUCCUGCCCCCAAAGCUCAACCAGCAGCAAGCCAGCCACAGAAAGGGACAAAACAUGAGUGUGUGGCCUUCCUGACACCCAGACAAGACUUCGGGCACAAAGCCAGGCCACAGCUCUGGCCCGACUCGGACCAGGGACGCCCCCCAUGCAGGCUGGUCUGCCCUGGCUGUUCUCCCUCCUGCCACCUUCUGUUUGACUGCUUGUGUCAAUAAAAGGAAAAUCAGCCAGUUUUCAGAAAAAAAAAAAUGUAGCUUUAUUAUGACAUAGGAGAGACUACAAAGCAUUAGGGGAGGAGAAGGAAUUACACAGGGCCUCAAAAUGAGAGGGGAAAAGAAAGGUUAACAUCUUGGUAAAUAAAGUCUCCAACCACAGCACAGUCAUUGGAAUUUUUUUCUUAA